CCUGACUAAGAAGGAGUCUGUGCUGUGAAGAUCUGCAGCCAUGAGAAAACACCAAGGAGAAAUUUUUCAGAUUGGGUUCCUCUUGUAUCUCCAAAUAUAAAGACAAUUGAGAUUUAUAGUCCUUCCCAGAUUCUAAGAGAUUUAGAAUAAUGUAGCCAUUUCUUGGGCUACUUAGGUACCAGUAACACAUGGACACAGAGGAAGAACUGUGCUGAAAUACAUGCUCCAGCUGCUCCAGUUUUACUAGUGGCUUCCUCUCAACACUGUUUUGCUCUGACUCCGGCUUAUAGCUGAAUUUUCAUGAAAGCCAGCUGUCUUUGUUCUAAGGGAAUUUCUUCUCAGGAGACUUUUAGUGGAUAUAUACCUGUGUGCAGAUCUACCCAGCAUGUAUUAAAGUAUAUAAAAUAAUUACAUACUCAAUGGUUUGGUCUACUGAUGAUACAUAUUUACACUCCAGUAAGGCUGUAGAACCUACUUGAAGAUAAAAUUGAGCUGAGGGGGAGCAUCUACAUGUCAUAUAGUAAACUUUGAUGUUGUCUAUGUUGGCUAAAAAAUUCUCAGGAAUAAAUCUGAUAUGGGAAGCUUUUUUUAUUGCCAUAAAGCUGUGCACAGGAGCGCUAAUCAUAAAGCUGGACAUUGUCACAGUAGAUGCUACACAAGAGAAUAAAAACCUCAUCACAGAGUUCUUAAAAAGUCAGAGGUAAAACAGUAUCAUGAAAAUUUUAUUGUGUCUGUAAGCAGAAGUCUUGGUAGAAGCAGCUGAGGUUUCAUCUCAAGAUGUAACAAUUUUCUCAUUAUUUCUUUUUCUCACAUCCAACUUU